rnacentral:pre_miRNA from 11 species
GGGGGUUUAUGGGAGCUCCUUUACGCUCCAGUUCUGAAAGGAGAUGAUGGUAUCCACAGCUGCUGGUUCAUGAGUACCUAUGGCUGCACAAUAUAUAUAGCAAUGUUGUGUGCAAACUAUGGGUGUGCAUGACCUCGGAGAAGUGGUUGCCUUGAUCUUUCUGGCCUUGGAGUGAAGGGAGCUCUCAUAACCCUUCUA